rfam:Chloroflexi bacterium RBG_13_46_14 RBG_13_scaffold_14469, whole genome shotgun sequence.
AUGACGGAUUCAAAGGUUCUGGAUUCACAGAGCGGCUAUGAAUCGGCUAUAACGACUCUGCUGUGCGGACUCGCAGGUGCUAAUUUCAUACAUGACAGCG